rnacentral:rRNA from 1 species
UACGGAGGGUGCAAGCGUUAAUCGGAAUUACUGGGCGUAAAGCGCACGUAGGCGGUUUGGUAAGCUAGCCGUGAAAGCCCCGGGCUUAACCUGGGAAUUGCGGUUAGAACUGCCAAGCUAGAGUAUGGUAGAGGGGUGUGGAAUUUCAGGUGUAGCGGUGAAAUGCGUAGAUAUCUGAAGGAACACCAGUGGCGAAGGCGACACCCUGGACCAAUACUGACGCUGAGGUGCGAAAGCGUGGGGAGCAAACAGGAUUAGAAACCCCAGUAGUCC